GACGAACCGUGCGAACGUUGUUCGGAAUCACUGGGCUUAAAGGGCGCGUAGGCGGGCUGCCGCGUCCGGGGUGAAAUCCUCCCGCUCAACGGGAGAACGGCCUCGGAUACGGGCGGCCUCGAGGGGGGUAGGGGCAUCUGGAACUGUGAGUGGAGCGGUGAAAUGCGUUGAUCCAUUGAAGACCACCAGUGGCGAAGGCGGCUUGCCAGAACGCGCUCGACGGUGAGGGAUGAAAGCUGGGGGAGCAAACCGG
rnacentral:rRNA from 1 species